rnacentral:rRNA from 1 species
AUUGAACGCUGGCGGCAUGCCUUACACAUGCAAGUCGAACGGUAACGGGCCUUCGGGUGCCGACGAGUGGCGAACGGGUGCGUAAUACAUCGGAACGUGCCCGAUCGUGGGGGAUAACGAGGCGAAAGCUUUGCUAAUACCGCAUACGAUCUACGGAUGAAAGCAGGGGACCGCAAGGCCUUGCGCGGACGGAGCGGCCGAUGGCAGAUUAGGUAGUUGGUGGGAUAAAAGCUUACCAAGCCGACGAUCUGUAGCUGGUCUGAGAGGAUGAUCAGCCACACUGGGACUGAGACACGGCCCAGACUCCUACGGGAGGCAGCAGUGGGGAAUUUUGGACAAUGGGCGCAAGCCUGAUCCAGCCAUGCCGCGUGCAGGAUGAAGGCCUUCGGGUUGUAAACUGCUUUUGUACGGAAAGAAAAGCCUUCUUUUAAUACAGGAGGGUCAUGACGGUACCGGAAGAAUAAGCACCGGCUAACUACGUG